rnacentral:pre_miRNA from 1 species
UCAUUCGGAUUCGCCAUCAUACGUCCAACCGUGCAUUUGAUAUGCAUAUAUAUGCAUCACGAGCCACAGUUGGGCUGUAUGAUGGCGAUACCGAUUGG